ensembl:processed_transcript
UUAACCUAAUUAACCUAGUUAAGCCUUUAAAUGUCACUUUAAGCUGGAUAGAAGUGUCUUGAAAGAUAUCUAGUCAAAUAUUAUUUACUGUCAUCAUGGCAAAGAUAAAAUAAAUCAGUUAUUAGAAAUGAGUUAUUAAAACUAUUAUUUAAACUAUUAUGUUUAAAAAUGUGUUGUACAUAAAUCAUGUGGUUGAAGACGGAAAUCAAAAACGAAUGAAGGCAAAACUAAACGAGUUGAAUAUGACUAACAUGAGCAUGGUGUGACAACGCGUACCUUUGUGUGCCUUUGAUGCACCCCUCUGGUGCUUCUUACACCUUUGUCGCAGCACCAGUGGCACCGAAAUUCAUAUGCUGGUUUGAUCCGGUACAGACCAGUUACAAAGGUACCGGUGCUAUAAUAGCACCAGGUUUCAAUAGCCAACCCUUGUCAUUU